GGGGGUGUAGCUCAGUGGUAGAGCGCGUGCUUAGCAUGCACGAGGCCCUGGGUUCAAUUCCCAGCACUUCCA
rnacentral:tRNA from 2 species